rnacentral:rRNA from 1 species
AGCGAACGCUGGCGGCAGGCCUAACACAUGCAAGUCGAGCGCCCAGCAAUGGGAGCGGCAGACGGGUGAGUAACGCGUGGGGAUCUGCCCAAUGGUACGGAAUAACCCAGGGAAACUUGGAUUAAUACCGUAUGUGCCCUUCGGGGGAAAGAUUUAUCGCCAUUGGAUGAACCCGCGUCGGAUUAGCUAGUUGGUGUGGUAAAGGCGCACCAAGGCGACGAUCCGUAGCUGGUCUGAGAGGAUGAUCAGCCACACUGGGACUGAGACACGGCCCAGACUCCUACGGGAGGCAGCAGUGGGGAGUAUUGGACGAUGGGCGCAGGCCUGAUCCAGCCACGCCGCGUGUGUGAUGAAGGCCUUAGGGUUGUAAAGCACUUUCGCCGGUGAAGAUAAUGACGGUAACCGGAGAAGAAGCCCCGGCUAACUUCGUGCCAGCAGCCGCAGUAA